AGGGCACCACCAGGAGUGGAGCCUGCGGCUUAAUUUGACUCAACACGGGAAACCUCACCCGGCCCGGACACGGACAGGAUUGACAGAUCGAUAGCUCUUUCUCGAUUCCGUGGGUGGUGGUGCAUGGCCGUUCUUAGUUGGUGGAGCGAUUUGUCUGGUUAAUUCCGAUAACGAACGAGACUCUGGCAUGCUAACUAGUUACGCGACCCCCCGAGCGGUCGGCGUCCCCCAACUUCUUAGAGGGACAAGUGGCGUUCAGCCACCCGAGGUUGAGCAAUAACAGGUCUGUGAUGCCCUUAGAUGUCCGGGGCUGCACGCGCGCUACACUGACUGGCUCAGCGUGUGCCUACCCUACGCCGGCAGGCGCGGGUAACCCGUUGAACCCCAUUCGUGAUGGGGAUCGGGGAUUGCAAUUAUUCCCCAUGAACGAGGAAUUCCCAGUAAGUGCGGGUCAUAAAGCUUGCGUUGAUUAAGUCCACUGCACUUUGUACACACCGCCCGUCGCUACUACCGAUUGGA
rnacentral:rRNA from 1 species